rnacentral:rRNA from 1 species
UACAGAGGGUGCGAGCGUUAAUCGGAAUUACUGGGCGUAAAGCGCACGUAGGCGGCUUGGUAUGUCGGGUGUGAAAUCCCCAGGCUCAACCUGGGAACUGCGUCUGAUACUGGAUGGCUCGAGUUCGGGAGAGGGAAGCGGAAUUCCAGGUGUAGCGGUGAAAUGCGUAGAUAUCUGGAGGAACACCGGUGGCGAAGGCGGCUUCCUGGACCGACACUGACGCUGAGGCGCGAAAGCUAGGGGAGCAAACGGG